UGUUAUGUGGCUUAGUUGGUUAAAGCGCCGGUUCGGCGAAUACGGAGUCGUGGGUUCGAAUCCCCCCAGAUCAC
rnacentral:tRNA from 1 species